rnacentral:lncRNA from 1 species
UAAAGGUCAGACUUAAUUCUAUGACUCGUAAGGGGAGAUUGGAUGCUGUUGUUGUAAAGCACAAUCAUGUGCUCUUCAUAUCUACUGUUGCUUAUCUAAGGUCUCACAGGAAGAUCAGUACACUAGAAAAGACUGAGAUUUGCAAUAUGCAUGUCGUGAAUAUACCUACAACUCAGAUAUACUCCAUCAUUACAAGAAGAAAAGGUGGUAGAAGAUAAUUAAAAUUCACAGAGAAUGAUGCACAUAAUUUAAUUUGUUGAAAAUAUCAAAGUCAGCUGA